AGUGAACGCUGGCGGUAGGCCUAACACAUGCAAGUCGAACGGCAGCACAGGAGAGCUUGCUCACUGGGUGGCGAGUGGCGGACGGGUGAGGAAUACAUCGGAAUCUACUCUGUCGUGGGGGAUAACGUAGGGAAACUUACGCUAAUACCGCAUACGACCUACGGGUGAAAGCAGGGGAUCUUCGGACCUUGCGCGAGUGAAUGAGCCGAUGUCGGAUUAGCUAGUUGGCGGGGUAAAGGCCCACCAAGGCGACGAUCCGUAGCUGGUCUGAGAGGAUGAUCAGCCACACUGGAACUGAGACACGGUCCAGACUCCUACGGGAGGCAGCAGUGGGGAAUAUUGGACAAUGGGCGCAAGCCUGAUCCAGCCAUACCGCGUGGGUGAAGAAGGCCUUCGGGUUGUAAAGCCCUUUUGUUGGGAAAGAAAUCCAGCUGGCUAAUACCCGGUUGGGAUGACGGUACCCAAAGAAUAAGCACCGGCUAACUUCGUGCCAGCAGCCGCGGUAA
rnacentral:rRNA from 1 species